GACGAACGCUGGCGGCGUGCUUAACACAUGCAAGUCGAACGGAAAGGCCCUGCUUUUGUGGGGUGCUCGAGUGGCGAACGGGUGAGUAACACGUGAGUAACCUGCCCUUGACUUUGGGAUAACUUCAGGAAACUGGGGCUAAUACCGGAUAGGAGCUCCUGCUGCAUGGUGGGGGUUGGAAAGUUUCGGCGGUUGGGGAUGGACUCGCGGCUUAUCAGCUUGUUGGUGGGGUAGUGGCUUACCAAGGCUUUGACGGGUAGCCGGCCUGAGAGGGUGAACGGCCACAUUGGGACUGAGAUACGGCCCAGACGCCUACGGGAGGCAGCAGUGGGGAAUAUUGCACAAUGGGCGGAAGCCUGAUGCAGCAACGCCGCGUGCGGGAUGACGGCCUUCGGGUUAUAAACCGCUUUCGCCUGUGACGAAGCGUGAGUGACGGUAAUGGGUAAAGAAGCACCGGCUAACUACGUG
rnacentral:rRNA from 1 species